rnacentral:tRNA from 1 species
GGGGAUGUGGCUCAAGUGGUAGAGUGCUUGCCUAGCAUGCAUGAGGAACUGGGUUCAAUUCUCAGCACCACA